rnacentral:tRNA from 1 species
GCCCGGCUGGCUCCAAAGGUAGAGCAUGUGACUCUUGAUCUCAGGGUCGUGGGUUCAAGCACCACGUUGGGUC